CAGAUGAAAAAUUGAACCACAGGUUCUUGAGUAAAUUAAUUGUACUACAGAUGAUAAAGUCUCACAUUAGCUGUAAAGGCGAGGCCAUUUACUGCAUCAUCAUAAAUAACUAAGCAGCAAUACAAAAUUUUUAAACUAGAAGUGCAGCCGGACGAGUCCAACAAGGGGAUGCAACCGAGCGGCACCACCGACGAUGUUUCCACUGGGGACACCCAGCACGGCACAGGGGAUAUAGUCUGGCCUAUAGAGACAAUAACAAUGACAAUUCUUUCAUUACGAUUAACGAGAGGGUGGCCCUUCACUGAUGUGCCUCCCCUCCCCAAAGAUGCCAGCUCUUAGUGGAUGUCUACCUUAACCAUGCCGGCAAGGUUUGGGCAACGAAUAAUUUUACUCAAUGGAAGGUAGUUAUGAAGUUAAGCAGGAAGUCCUUGGUCCUUGUGUUGGUAGCACUAUGAAGACAACAUUGACUAAUGGUAGACAGCAGCAGUGAAUUGUGCAACCUCACAGGCAGACUGAUGCACACGUAAGCAUGCGGGAUGAAAACCAGCAUUGACAAGAGCAAAGUCAAGGUCAACACCGACAGGCCCUCUGGAACACCAGAGUGACAAAUGAUGGACAAGAAAAACAAAUCUUGCAGUAGUUUAUUUAUGCGCAUGACCAAAUAAGGCACGUAGCAACAUAAAUCAAAGUACAAGUACAAAGAAAUUGAGUAAUAUGAGUGGUCAUUGAUAAAAUGUAUGCAUACAGCAUGUAGGUACACAAGAAAUGUACAGCAAAAUGUUAUCCUGCAUCAAGUAUGCAUUUGAUACACAUUAAGUACAUAUUAUGUACAUCCGAUACAAAGUAACAGGGUUGAUCACUUUGUAAAAUUUAAAAUGAAUAAAUUUUCUCAAAGUGAAAAA